UGUGUGCGCGUGUGAGUGUAU
rnacentral:miRNA from 1 species